rnacentral:rRNA from 1 species
UACGUAGGGUGCAAGCAUUAAUCGGAUUUAUUGGGCGUAAAGGGCGCGUAGGCGGAAAUGCCAGUCAGAUGUGAAAUCCCGGGGCUCAACCCCGGAACAGCAUUUGAAACUACAUUUCUAGAGGGUAGGCGGAGAAAACGGAAUUCCACAAGUAGCGGUGAAAUGCGUAGAUAUCUGAAGGAACACCAGUGGCGAAAGCGGCUUCCUGGUCCAGUACCGACGUUCAGGCACGAAAGCGUGGGGAGCAAACAGG